AAUCUCUGAAGUAAGGGGAAAAUUCCUACAAGCAAUAACUCUCUGAAUGUACUUCUUGCACACAAUUGGUGCUUUUAUAAAAGAAAGGGCAACAGGGCCGUUGGUUCAAAAAUCGAAGAAGCACCACUCUCUGGAUUCCGAAGAGGCACCACUUUCCACACGUAACAUCAGCUUCUCGGGUACCAUAGAUAACUUUGCCAAAGAUCUCUGACAAAGUUUAGACACAUAAAUUUUGAAGGUCCAGAUACCCUACUAUUACCCACAAGGGUAAAGGUACAGCACCACUGCUUGAUAACUGGAAAGUCCCUGUGUGUGUCAACCUCCGUGCUCCGUGGCAAGGCAGACUGGCAAAAAUGCCCAACCUUUACUCACAU
rnacentral:lncRNA from 1 species